AACGGUCUAUACCUGCGGUACCUGCGGAAGGAUCAUUAUUGAAUAUUCAUGAUAGGUUUGUAGCUGGCCCGAGAGGGCAUGUGCACAGCUUGUCUUGACUCUAUUCAUCCACCUGUGCACAUUUUGUAGUCUCAUCUGGGGCUGGUGAGUGGCUGAACUCGGUUGAGAGACCGGUAUAUGAGAAUUGACUUGCAUGUGUAGCGGUCAUUUCUCUGAGUCGCAAACUCCCUCGAGGGAUUA
rnacentral:misc_RNA from 1 species